rnacentral:rRNA from 1 species
UACGAAGGGGGCUAGCGUUGCUCGGAAUUACUGGGCGUAAAGGGUGCGUAGGCGGGUCUUUAAGUCAGAGGUGAAGUCCUGGAGCUCAACUCCAGAACUGCCUUUGAUACUGAGGAUCUUGAGUUCGGGAGAGGUAAGUGGAAUUCCGAGUGUAGAGGUGAAAUUCGUAGAUAUUCGGAAGAACACCAGUGGCGAAGGCGACUUACUGGACACAUAUUGACGCUGAGGUGCGAAAGCGUGGGGAGCAAACAGG